GAUGAACGCUAGCGGCAGGCUUAAUACAUGCAAGUCGAGGGGCAGCAGGUCUGUAGCAAUACAGAUGCUGGCGACCGGCAAACGGGUGCGGAACACGUACACAACCUUCCUUUAAGUGGGGAAUAGCCCAGGGAAACUUGGAUUAAUACCCCGUAAAAUUAUGAAGUGGCAUCACUUUAUAAUUAAAGCUCAGGCGCUUAAUGAUGGGUGUGCGGCUGAUUAGGUAGUUGGCGGGGAACGGCCCACCAAGCCUGCGAUCAGUAACUGGUGUGAGAGCACGACCAGUCACACGGGCACUGAGACACGGGCCCGACUCCUACGGGAGCAGCAGUAAGGAAUAUUGGUCAAUGGACGCAAGUCUGAACCAGCCAUGCCGCGUGGAGGAUGAAGGUCCUCUGGAUUGU
rnacentral:rRNA from 1 species